GACGAACGCUGGCGGCGUGCCUAAUACAUGCAAGUAGAACGCACGGUUUAUACCGUAGCUUGCUCCACCAUAGACUGUGAGUUGCGAACGGGUGAGUAACGCGUAGGUAACCUGCCUGGUAGCGGGGGAUACCUAUGGGAAAGGUAACCUAAUACCGAAUAUUUUUAUUUAUGCCAGGAAAAUUAAUUAAAAGGUCAAUUUCCACAACUACCAGAUGAACCUGCUUUGUAUUAGCUGGUAGGUGAGGUAACGGCCCACCUAGGCGACGAUACAUAGCCGACCUGAGAGGGUGAUCGGCCACACUGGGACUGAGACACGGCCCAGACUCCUACGGGAGGCAGCAGUAGGGAAUCUUCGGCAAUGGACGAAAGUCUGACCGAGCAACGCCGCGUGAGUGAAGAAGGUUUUCGGAUCGUAAAGCUCUGUUGUAAGAGAAGAACGGGUGUGAGAGUGGAAAGUUCACACUGUGACGGUAUCUUACCAGAAAGGGACGGCUAACUACGUG
rnacentral:rRNA from 1 species